CCCCAGAUGUUGCUGAACUACAACUCCCAUGAUUCCCUGGCUUUCUGUUUCAUUGAAAGAAUCAUGGGAGUUGUAGUUCAGCAACAUCUGGGG
rnacentral:miRNA from 1 species